GGCAGCUCCAUCAGGAUAUUCUAUCCACCGUUUUCUCCCAGAACGUCUUGUGCUGUGUUAUUUUGUGGCUGUCUCCUGAUAGUCUUGAUACUUCACCCUGGUCAAGAUGGAAUGAGGUCUGAAUCUUUGGAGCAGAAGAUGGAACAGACACACGAUACAACUCCAGUAUGUUAAGGUGCAAUGAGAAACUGCUGCCUGAUUUAGAAUGAGAAGAAGCCCAAACACUCCUACUUUUUGUCUGAAUUUGUCCUCAGCUCUUGGUUCUUUAAUAACAGUGCACGUCUGCGUGCAUUCGCACAAACCAGGUCUCCUGCAGUCGGAGGGAACACGUGUCUGCAAAAGGCUUUUCUGCUUUGGGUGCCCUACAGCGAG
ensembl:lncRNA